UACGUAGGUAGCGAGCGUUGUUCGGAGUUACUGGGCGUAAAGGGUGUGUAGGCGGUUCUUUAAGUUUGGGGUGAAAUCUCCCGGCUCAACCGGGAGGGUGCGUCGAAUACUGAGGGACUAGAGUACGGGAGAGGAAAGUGGAAUUCCUGGUGUAGCGGUGAAAUGCGUAGAUAUCAGGAGGAACACCGGUGGUGUAGACGGCUUUCUGGACCGUAACUGACGCUGAGACACGAAAGCGUGGGUAGCAAACAGG
rnacentral:rRNA from 1 species